AGUGAAUCACUGUAAUUGUUAAAUUAGUAAUAUGUCUGUUAAGUGAAUCUGGCUUCCCCAUUGAUUUUAAUUGUCAGAAGGUUACAUGGCCCCAAGGCAUGCAACUAUCAUAAAUGUGAGUCAGUUGCCAAGCGUCUAAAUUUUGAUCAUGUGACCAUGGGGAUGUGGCAAUAGUUGCGUGAAAAACCAUCAGCCACUUCUUCAGUGCUGUUGUGACUUCAAACAGUCACUAAACUAAUGCUUGUAAGUCGAGGAUUACUUGUACUUCAAGGUAUAUUCAGGAGAAGUAUAACAUUUUGGGCAAAUGUUUUUCAAGAAAGCUACUGCAUUUCAUUUAGGUCAUGGGUCCUCAAAUUACAGCCUGGGAGACGAAUGCGGCCCACCAAAGCCAUUAAUCCAACCCGCACAGGACCAUGAGGCUGCCCUGCCCACAUCACCUCGCCCACCCUUUGGCCGAGCACUAGACUUACCUUCGCGAGCCCCACAGGCUGGAACUGAAAGAUUGUAUGUCAGUCUAUUUUUAUUCAAUAACUGUUCUGGGUGCCUUUAAUAAGAAUGAAGGCCAUGAGAAGGUCGCACUAGGUGAUCACAUGACUUUGGGACACAGCAAC